GAUUAAGUUAUUAAGGGCGCACGGUGGAUGCCUUGGCACUAGAAGCCGAUGAAGGACGUUACUAACGACGAUAUGCUUUGGGGAGCUGUAAGUAAGCUUUGAUCCAGAGAUUUCCGAAUGGGGAAACCCAGCAUGAGUUAUGUCAUGUUAUCGAUAUGUGAAUACAUAGCAUAUCAGAAGGCACACCCGGAGAACUGAAACAUCUUAGUACCCGGAGGAAGAGAAAGAAAAUUCGAUUCCCUUAGUAGCGGCGAGCGAAACGGGAAGAGCCCAAACCAACAAGCUUGCUUGUUGGGGUUGUAGGACACUCUAUACGGAGUUACAAAGGACGACAUUAGACGAAUCAUCUGGAAAGAUGAAUCAAAGAAGGUAAUAAUCCUGUAGUCGAAAAUGUUGUCUCUCUUGAGUGGAUCCUGAGUACGACGGAGCACGUGAAAUUCCGUCGGAAUCUGGGAGGACCAUCUCCUAAGGCUAAAUACUCUCUAGUGACCGAUAGUGAACCAGUACCGUGAGGGAAAGGUGAAAAGCACCCCGGAAGGGGAGUGAAAUAGAACCUGAAACCGUGUGCUUACAAGUAGUCAGAGCCCGUUAAUGGGUGAUGGCGUGCCUUUUGUAGAAUGAACCGGCGAGUUACGAUUUGAUGCAAGGUUAAGCAGUAAAUGUGGAGCCGUAGCGAAAGCGAGUCUGAAUAGGGCGUUUAGUAUUUGGUCGUAGACCCGAAACCAGGUGAUCUACCCUUGGUCAGGUUGAAGUUCAGGUAACACUGAAUGGAGGACCGAACCGACUUACGUUGAAAAGUGAGCGGAUGAACUGAGGGUAGCGGAGAAAUUCCAAUCGAACCUGGAGAUAGCUGGUUCUCUCCGAAAUAGCUUUAGGGCUAGCCUCAAGUGAUGAUUAUUGGAGGUAGAGCACUGUUUGGACGAGGGGCCCCUCUCGGGUUACCGAAUUCAGACAAACUCCGAAUGCCAAUUAAUUUAACUUGGGAGUCAGAACAUGGGUGAUAAGGUCCGUGUUCGAAAGGGAAACAGCCCAGACCACCAGCUAAGGUCCCAAAAUAUAUGUUAAGUGGAAAAGGAUGUGGCGUUGCCCAGACAACUAGGAUGUUGGCUUAGAAGCAGCCAUCAUUUAAAGAGUGCGUAAUAGCUCACUAGUCGAGUGACACUGCGCCGAAAAUGUACCGGGGCUAAACAUAUUACCGAAGCUGUGGAUUGUCCUUUGGACAAUGGUAGGAGAGCGUUCUAAGGGCGUUGAAGCAUGAUCGUAAGGACAUGUGGAGCGCUUAGAAGUGAGAAUGCCGGUGUGAGUAGCGAAAGACGGGUGAGAAUCCCGUCCACCGAUUGACUAAGGUUUCCAGAGGAAGGCUCGUCCGCUCUGGGUUAGUCGGGUCCUAAGCUGAGGCCGACAGGCGUAGGCGAUGGAUAACAGGUUGAUAUUCCUGUACCACCUAUAAUCGUUUUAAUCGAUGGGGGGACGCAGUAGGAUAGGCGAAGCGUGCGAUUGGAUUGCACGUCUAAGCAGUAAGGCUGAGUAUUAGGCAAAUCCGGUACUCGUUAAGGCUGAGCUGUGAUGGGGAGAAGACAUUGUGUCUUCGAGUCGUUGAUUUCACACUGCCGAGAAAAGCCUCUAGAUAGAAAAUAGGUGCCCGUACCGCAAACCGACACAGGUAGUCAAGAUGAGAAUUCUAAGGUGAGCGAGCGAACUCUCGUUAAGGAACUCGGCAAAAUGACCCCGUAACUUCGGGAGAAGGGGUGCUCUUUAGGGUUAACGCCCAGAAGAGCCGCAGUGAAUAGGCCCAAGCGACUGUUUAUCAAAAACACAGGUCUCUGCUAAACCGUAAGGUGAUGUAUAGGGGCUGACGCCUGCCCGGUGCUGGAAGGUUAAGAGGAGUGGUUAGCUUCUGCGAAGCUACGAAUCGAAGCCCCAGUAAACGGCGGCCGUAACUAUAACGGUCCUAAGGUAGCGAAAUUCCUUGUCGGGUAAGUUCCGACCCGCACGAAAGGCGUAACGAUUUGGGCACUGUCUCAACGAGAGACUCGGUGAAAUCAUAGUACCUGUGAAGAUGCAGGUUACCCGCGACAGGACGGAAAGACCCCGUGGAGCUUUACUGUAGCCUGAUAUUGAAAUUCGGCACAGCUUGUACAGGAUAGGUAGGAGCCUUUGAAACGUGAGCGCUAGCUUACGUGGAGGCGCUGGUGGGAUACUACCCUAGCUGUGUUGGCUUUCUAACCCGCACCACUUAUCGUGGUGGGAGACAGUGUCAGGCGGGCAGUUUGACUGGGGCGGUCGCCUCCUAAAAGGUAACGGAGGCGCUCAAAGGUUCCCUCAGAAUGGUUGGAAAUCAUUCAUAGAGUGUAAAGGCAUAAGGGAGCUUGACUGCGAGACCUACAAGUCGAGCAGGGUCGAAAGACGGACUUAGUGAUCCGGUGGUUCCGCAUGGAAGGGCCAUCGCUCAACGGAUAAAAGCUACCCCGGGGAUAACAGGCUUAUCUCCCCCAAGAGUUCACAUCGACGGGGAGGU
rnacentral:rRNA from 1 species